rnacentral:tRNA from 1 species
GGGAGUAUAGCCCAGCGGUAAGGUGUGUGCUUAGCAUGCAUGGAGGUCCUGGGUUUGAUCCCCAGCACCUCCA